rnacentral:rRNA from 1 species
UACGUAGGGCGCAAGCGUUAUCCGGAUUUAUUGGGUUUAAAGGGUGCGUAGGCGGUCCGUUAAGUCCGGGGUGAAAGCCCACUGCUCAACAGUGGAACUGCCCUGGAAACUGGAGAACUUGAGUACAGACGAGGGCGGCGGAAUGGAUGGUGUAGCGGUGAAAUGCAUAGAUACCAUCCAGAACCCCGAUUGCGAAGGCAGCUGCCUAGACUGUAACUGACGCUGAGGCACGAAAGCGUGGGGAGCGAACAGG